rnacentral:rRNA from 1 species
AGGACGAACGCUGGCGGCGUGCUUAACACAUGCAAGUGGAGCGACGAACCAGGGCUUGCCCUGGGGCAGAGCCGCGAACGGGUGAGUAACACGUGGGUUACCUGCCUCGAUGACCGGGACAACCCGAGGAAACUCGGGCUAAUACCGGAUGUGCCCGCAAGGGGAAAGGAAGCUUCGGCCUCCGCAUCGAGAUGGGCCCGCGGCCCAUUAGCUUGUUGGUGAGGUAACGGCUCACCAAGGCUUCGAUGGGUAGCUGGUCUGAGAGGACGAUCAGCCACACUGGGACUGAGACACGGCCCAGACUCCUACGGGAGGCAGCAGCGGGGAAUCUUGCGCAAUGCGCGAAAGCGUGACGCAGCAACGCCGCGUGGGGGAAGAAGGCUUUCGGGUUGUAAACCCUUUCAGUUGGGACGAAGCUUCGUCGGUGAAUAGCCGGCCGGAGUGACGGUACCUUCACAAGAAGCACCGGCUAACUACGCGCCAGCAGCCGCGGU